CGAGCUGGCGGCAUGCCUAUAAUGCNAGUCGAGCGGAAUGACGAGAGCUUGCUCUCUGAUUUUAGCGGCGGACGGGUGAGUAACACGUGGGCAACCUGCCCUACAGAUGGGGAUAACUCCGGGAAACUGGGGCUAAUACCGAAUAAUCAGUUUGUCCGCAUGGACAAACUCUGAAAGACGGUUUCGGCUGUCACUGUAGGAUGGGCCCGCGGCGCAUUGGCUAGUUGGUGGGGUAAUGGCCUACCAAGGCAACGAUGCGUAGCCGACCUGAGAGGGUGAUCGGCCACACUGGGACUGAGACACGGCCCAGACUCUUACGGGAGGCAGCAGUAGGGAAUCUUCCACAAUGGACGAAAGUCUGAUGGAGCAAUGCCGCGUGAGCGAAGAAGGUUUUCGGAUCGUAAAGCUCUGUUGUAAGGGAAGAACACGUACGGGAGUAACUGCCCGUGCCAUGACGGUACCUUAUUAGAAAGCCACGGCUAACUACGUGCCAGCAGCCGCGGUAAU
rnacentral:rRNA from 1 species